rnacentral:rRNA from 1 species
UUGAUUGGCGUGCAUGCCUACAAUUUCUUUUACAACUUUCAGCAACGGAUCUCUUGGCUCUCGCAUCGAUGAAGAACGCAGCGAAAUGCGAUAAGUAAUGUGAAUUGCAGAAUUCAGUGAAUCAUCGAAUCUUUGAACGCACCUUGCGCUCCUUGGUAU